rfam:Coniochaeta ligniaria NRRL 30616 unplaced genomic scaffold CONLIGscaffold_13, whole genome shotgun sequence.
GCCCCCUUGGCCUAAUGGCUAAGGCGUCAGACUUCUAAUCUGAAGAUUGGGAGUUCGAGCCUCCCAGGGGGCU